UACGUAUAAGUAAAAUAAAUUAUAUAUUGAUAAUGAUAAAUAUUUCCAAGAAUGGACAAUUAUCUAUCUAAUAGAAAAACGCGAGUGCUGCAUUUUGGAAAGACAUCUAGAUAAGACUAAGUAGCAAAGUUUGAAGCUUAGAGCGAUUAAACCGCAAGAUAUUGAAACGCGAAUGUCUUCCGAAAACGAUGAUAAAGAGAAGCUUCUGCUAUCAGCAAAUUUACAUUUCGUCUGUGUACCAAACUGAUGAGACUCACAUCAGACACAAUAGUCAAUCUUGUGCCAAAUACAUAACAAUUUCGCGAAAAAGACGAUAAAGAGAAGCUUCUGCUAUCAGCAAAUUUACAAUCGUCUAUGCACCAAACUGAUGAGACUCACAUCAGACACAAUAGCCAAUCUUGUGCCAAAUACGUAACAAUUUCGCGAAAAAGACGCUACAGCGUAUCUACUACUCAGAUGCUAAUUUGAUCACUUAUUAUCUUUUGAGUAUCUUUUCUUUUUUUCUUCUUUCGUAUAUAUUAUUUAGUUUUGCUCGCGAUAAGAAUAUGUAAGAAAGUGUGAUAAAACACAUAAUGGAUGAUAAAGUGUCAUUGACAGACUCGAUCGUGUUGUUUCCAGACGGUUCACGAGAGAUUCGAAAUGGUCUUUAAUCGUAAGGUUUGUUAAUCAUUCUCUUUUAUAAUUCAAGAUGAGUAAAAGCUUUACAUCAUGAUAAGCAACGUUCAAAAAAAA